rfam:Schistosoma rodhaini strain Burundi genome assembly, scaffold: SROB_scaffold0001213
AUCUAGCUGACGAGUUCGAAAUAGGACGGAAAGCGCGUCUUGGAU